GAUCAUGGCUCAGGAUGAACGCUAGCUACAGGCUUAACACAUGCAAGUCGAGGGGCAGCAUGGUCUUUAGCUUGCUAAGGCCGAUGGCGACCGGCGCACGGGUGAGUAACACGUAUCCAACCUGCCGUCUACUCUUGGACAGCCUUCUGAAAGGAAGAUUAAUACAAGAUUGCAUCAUGAGUCCGCAUGUUCACAUGAUUAAAGGUAUUCCGGUAGACGAUGGGG
rnacentral:rRNA from 1 species